rnacentral:piRNA from 1 species
UCUCAAGAGAAAGAUGGUUUGUUAGAGCU